rnacentral:rRNA from 1 species
UACAGAGGUCUCAAGCGUUGUUCGGAUUCAUUGGGCGUAAAGGGUGCGUAGGCGGCGCGGUAAGUCGGGUGUGAAAUCUCGGGGCUUAACUCCGAAACUGCAUUCGAUACUGCCGUGCUUGAGGACUGGAGAGGAGACUGGAAUUUACGGUGUAGCGGUGAAAUGCGUAGAUAUCGUAAGGAAGACCAGGUGGCGAAGGCGGGUCUCUGGACAGUUC